AUGGGCCAUACCGUACGCUGUGGUUUUGCACGUGCUGUCCGCACCCAACGGACGACUGCUCGCUACGUUUUGCUGGCC
rnacentral:sRNA from 1 species